GGGGGCGACAGGUUUCGACGGGAGCCAGUGAGGUCCAGGCUGCGUCUCGAGGUUUCUCUCCCCUCGUUAAUAAGAGAGAACGGUAUAGCUGCCGACACACAGCUAGCUCUGGCGGCCUAACACCCGCCAGCGUCCGCCGGGUUGAGCCCUCAGGGCCCGGGAACGGACGUCAUACUCUGGUGGCUGGCUCCGAACCUCGCCUCAGGGGAGGAGCGAGAACCAUGAGGCUGGCCCCGCGCCUGUCCUGCCGGCUGGAGGGGUGCCGGGGCGAGAGAGCAGCAAGAUAGACCGGCUAUCGGCGUAGACGCCUGCGGCUGAGGGUUUCCGGACGUGGGUUCAAUUCCCACCGCCUCCACCA
rnacentral:tmRNA from 1 species